UACGUGAGCCACAAACGUUACUCGGAAUCAUUGGGCGUAGAGCGUUUGUAGGGGGAUUGGAAAGUAGGACGUUCCAGAUCAUGGCUCAACCAUGAUAGUGCGUUCUAAACUUCCAAUCUGGAAGGCAGUAGAGGUCAAUAGAAUUCCCGGUGUAGGGGUUAAAUCCGUAGAUAUCGGGAGGAAUACCAAUAGUGAAGACAAUUGACUGGGCUGUUCUUGACCCUUAGAAACGAAAGCGUGGGGAG
rnacentral:rRNA from 1 species